CAUACAGUCCAUAUGCAUGUCGUACCCAAGUUUAGUAGAUCCAUGUCGCACAGUGUGAUAAUGAUCUUAUAGGAUUGCUAAAAUCCUGCAGUGUAUCCAGAGCUUUACAAGUAAUUUCGACAUCAGUAUUGAUCACUGCCAUCUGUCAGCAAUUACUGCACUCAUCAACCCUGCAUAUAAGCACGCACUGCACACAGUCAUUUAUCUGGUCUUAUAUUGGACUAUGAAUUACUUACCUGUCCACUUACCUGAGAUAUUUACCUCCUGUAAUUUCUCCAAGUUCCUGUCUUCUUGUUCCUUCAUCAGUUCUCCAGCUCCAGUGUUCCCACUAACCCUCUGUGUCACAAUUCAGGGGCUGCAACCUUCGAAGGCCACAUUUGAAAGCCGAUUGCAUCACCGCGAUAUGACGAAGGCUGUCCCAAUUUGAAUGGUCCAUUGAAUGUGGCCUACCGUUCUCCUUUCCCCGGGCCGUGAAGGAUAGAAUGAGUGGAUCCUUCAUAGCCUAGCUUAGCCGGUGAUGACAGUAUUUAUUUUUUUUCCCAAAGAAAAUAGCGGGUGAUAAUUAUUCUGUGGCGGUGAGGAAUACACUUAUAAGUGGAGCAAGGAGCAGACAGCGGAGUUAAAAUGAGGGCUGAAAAUGAGUAUUUAUUAACCGGGGCCAAAAACUCAGUCAGUGUGACUUCGAGGAUUGCAAGUGGCCUGGGACAGGUGGGGGAGUGAGUGGGAAACCCACUUGCUGCAACUUGGCCGUGAAUUGUCCUCAUGGAUGAGGUGCUGGGACAGAGGCAUUCUGACAACCUCCCAGUCAUCAUUGCCUCCAUCCCUGAAGACACACCAGGGCCACAUUCAGCAGUGGAUGACCAAGAUGAAGAGGAACUAGCACCAGCACCUGCCAAGAGAAAAAGAGACAGAGGAUGAGCUGAUCAAGCUAAUUAGGGAGGACGUGAAGUUUCAGUGAGAGACAGGAGAGGAAAUCACAGGAGAACAGGGAGAGAAUGGACAGACUGUUUUCUCUUCUUGAGAGAGUGAUGGAGAAAUAAAUUUUGGUUAUGUAAACUAAAAUUUGUAAAUGAAACAAAAUCAUUCUAUACAUUAUUUAUUUUUCUUACAUAAUUUAUAAAUUAAAAAAUAAAUUAUUCUG